rnacentral:misc_RNA from 1 species
ACUACCUCAACGUCGUCGUCUCGCCAGCCCCAACUUGGCGACACUAUCAAUAAAUAGAGAAAACCCUAAAUUGCUCUCUACAUAAUUCUCUGUUCUGUGUCUCCUUCCCUCUGAGAACGUUGUUCAUUCCUCUUCCUAAAAUGGAAUUGGUUAUCAGUGGUAGGCCACCAUCUAGAUUAGAGUAUAAAUCUGCAAGGAUCGGAUCUGGUGCGUGGAGGAGCAAAGCAAGGGGGUUACUGAAAGGCGGAUAAGAAACAGAGGCAGUGAAGGCAUAUCCGGAAACCAACUAUGAAAUGGGGACAUAAUCUGCGUUGGCUGUUUUAAUAUAAUCCUAUUGGAACGGAAAUGAAUGGAGUUAUAAAACAGUUAUAAUGUUCAAUUAUUUUUUCUGUGUGACAAAAUCUUUCUAUUUCAGGCUUAAAAAAGAGAAAGAGAAAGAAAAGAUGGGUUCUUUCUGUAGAUCCAAUCUUCAUCUUUUUAGUAGUAUUUUUAAAAUUCAUUUAGAUGUUGCAACUGCGAUCUGCAUGUAUGUGCUUUAAUGUUUGUCUUAGCUUUUCGGCUGAGUUAAUCUGCUUUUGUUUUAACUUUGGAUGUUUCAAUCCUGCUAGGUUCAGAUAUAACGGUUGAUUUAAGUUUUUCUCUUUUACUUAACGCUAGGAUCUUUUUCUUGCUAUAGAUGAUGAUUGACGUUAAAAUUAAUCUAAUUUGAUUGA